GGGUGCUUGAGGCUAUCUGCCUCGGGCAUGAACACCAACGGCAGAUAGAGAAAAGCCCCAGUUAACAUUACGCGUCCUGCAAGACGCUUAACAUUAAUCUGAGCUCAAUCCAUGCUGAAACAUGUAAGUUAGCCUCUCUUACUGUGCGAAAGGCAGGAGAAGCAGGCUAUGAAG
rnacentral:antisense_RNA from 1 species